AUCCUUCAAGAUGAGAUCUCCCCGAGACCUAGAGUCUCCUAAAGGGUCCAGCAAGACUAGCUGGUUGAUAGGCACGGUGUGGAAGCGCUGCAAGGCGUUGAGCUAACGUGUACUAAUACCCCGUGAGGCUUGACCAUAUAACCCCAAGGGGUUUG
rnacentral:rRNA from 1 species